GACGAACGCUGGCGGCGUGCCUAAUACAUGCAAGUCGAACGCAGUGGGGACGGGUGAGUAACACGUGGGUAACCUCCCAUCAGAGGGGAUAACACUUGGAAACAGGUGCUAAACCGAUACUGAUGGAUGGACCCGCGGUGCAUUAGCUAGUUGGUGGGGUAACGGCUCCCCAAGGCCACGAUGCAUAGCCGGCCUGAUAGGGUGAUCGGACACACUGGAACUGAGAAACGGUCCAGACGCCUACGAGAGGCAGCAGUGGGGAAUAUUGCACAAUGGGCGCAAGCCUGAUGCAGCCAUGCCGCGUGUAUGAAGAAGGCCUUCGGGUUGUAAAGUACUUUCAGCGGGGAGGCGUUACCCGCAGAAGAAGCACCGGCUAACUCCGUGCCAGCCGCCGCGGUAAUAC
rnacentral:rRNA from 1 species